GGGAUUUCGUGUCAGGACGUACCGCCGAAUAUCGGGUGGGCAGCCUUCACACGGCUGAGGUCGGAGGUUCGAGUCCUCUAGCGCCCA
rnacentral:tRNA from 1 species